GCCAGACUCCUACGGGAGGCAGCAGUGGGGGAUAUUGCACAAUGGGGGGAACUCUGAUGCAGCGACGCCGCGUGGGUGAAGGAGCGUUUCGGCGCGUAAAGCCCUAUCGGCAGGGAAGAAGGAGGACGGUACCUGACUAAGAAGCCCCGGCUAACUACGUGCCAGCAGCCGCGGUAAUACGUAGGGGGCAAGCGUUAUCCGGAUUUACUGGGUGUAAAGGGGGCGCAGACGGCAGCGCAAGCCAGGAGUGAAAGCCCGGGGCCCAACCCCGGGACUGCUCUUGGAACUGCGCGGCUGGAGUGCAGGAGGGGCAGGCGGAAUUCCUGGUGUAGCGGUGAAAUGCGUAGAUAUCAGGAGGAACACCGGUGGCGAAGGCGGCCUGCUGGACUGCGACUGACGUUGAGGCCCGAAAGCGUGGGGAGCAAACAGGAUUAGAUACCCCAGUAAAC
rnacentral:rRNA from 1 species